rnacentral:rRNA from 1 species
UGCGUAGGUGGCUGAGCAAGUCGUUGAUGAAAUCCCGGGCUCAACUCGGGAACUGUCUUCGAAACUGCUCAGCUUGAGGGUGGUUGAGGAAAGCGGAAUUCCCGGUGGAGCGGUGAAAUGCGUAGAUAUCGGGAGGAACACCAGAGGCGAAGGCGGCUUUCUGGGCCAUUCCUGACACUCAUGCACGAAAGCUAGGGGAGCGAACG